rnacentral:tRNA from 2 species
GGCCUCAUAGCUCAGGGGACAGAGCACCGCUCUCCUAAAGCGGGUGUCGCAGGUUCGAAUCCUGCUGGGGCCACCA